rnacentral:rRNA from 1 species
CCCGGGGGCUCAACCUCGGAACUGCAUUUGAAAACUGGCAAACUAGAGUACUGUAGAGGGGGGUAGAAUUUCAGGUGUAGCGGUGAAAUGCGUAGAGAUCUGAAGGAAUACCAGUGGCGAAGGCGGCCCCCUGGACAGAUACUGACACUCAGAUGCGAAAGCGUGGGGAGCAAACAGGAUUAGAUACCCUGGUAGUCCACGCCGUAAACGAUGUCUACUUGGAGGUUGUGGCCUUGAGCCGUGGCUUUCGGAGCUAACGCGUUAAGUAGACCGCCUGGGGAGUACGGUCGCAAGAUUAAAACUCAAAUGAAUUGACGGGGGCCCGCACAAGCGGUGGAGCAUGUGGUUUAAUUCGAUGCAACGCGAAGAACCUUACCUACUCUUGACAUCCAGAGAACUUUCCAGAGAUGGAUUGGUGCCUUCGGGAACUCUGAGACAGGUGCUGCAUGGCUGUCGUCAGCUCGUGUUGUGAAAUGUUGGGUUAAGUCCCGCAACGAGCGCAACCCUUAUCCUUGUUUGCCAGCGAGUAAUGUCGGGAACUCCAGGGAGACUGCCGGUGAUAAACCGGAGGAAGGUGGGGACGACGUCAAGUCAUCAUGGCCCUUACGAGUAGGGCUACACACGUGCUACAAUGGCGCAUACAGAGGGCAGCCAACUCGCGAGAGUGAGCGAAUCCCAAAAAGUGCGUCGUAGUCCGGAUUGGAGUCUGCAACUCGACUCCAUGAAGUCGGAAUCGCUAGUAAUCGUAGAUCAGAAUGCUACGGUGAAUACGUUCCCGGGCCUUGUACACACCGCCCGUACA